CCUACGGGGGGCUGCAGUGGGGAAUAUUGCACAAUGGGCGCAAGCCUGAUGCAGCGACGCCGCGUGAGCGAUGAAGGCCUUCGGGUCGUAAAGCUCUGUCCUAAGGGAAGAAUAAUGACGGUACCUUAGGAGGAAGCCCCGGCUAACUACGGGGCAGCAGCCGCGGUAAUACGUAGGGGGCGAGCGUUAUCCGGAAUCACUGGGCGUAAAGGGUGCGUAGGCGGCUAGAUAAGUCAGAUGUGAAAGGCAUAGGCUUAACCUGUGUAAGCAUUUGAAACUGUCUAGCUUGAGUCAAGGAGAGGAAAGUGGAAUUCCUGGUGUAGCGGUGAAAUGCGUAGAUAUCAGGAGGAAUACCAGUGGCGAAGGCGGCUCUCUGGACUGCAACUGACGCUGAGGCACGAAAGCGUGGGGAGCGAACAGGAUUAGAUACCCCUGUAGUC
rnacentral:rRNA from 1 species